rnacentral:sRNA from 150 species
UGUAUCUGAAGCCUGACGAGGAUGAGAACCUCCGGGGGCAAGAGGUUCGACCCGAGCGAAGCGAGAGAACGUUGCGUCAGCAACGGCCCGCAGGGCGAGCCACGCAGUGGCGAGUCAUCCUCUAUCACCGACCA